UACAGAGGGGGCAAGCGUUGUUCGGAAUUACUGGGCGUAAAGGGCGCGUAGGCGGCCCGCUAAGUCGAACGUGAAAUCCCCGAGCUCAACUCGGGAACUGCGUCCGAUACUGGCGGGCUUGAAUCCGGGAGAGGGAUGCAGAAUUCCAGGUGUAGCGGUGAAAUGCGUAGAUAUCUGGAGGAAUACCGGUGGCGAAGGCGGCAUCCUGGACCGGCAUUGACGCUGAUGAGCGAAAGCCAGGGGAGCAAACGGG
rnacentral:rRNA from 1 species